CCUACGAGAGGCAGCAGUGGGGAAUAUUGGACAAUGGGCGAAAGCCUGAUCCAGCCAUGCCGCGUGUGUGAAGAAGGCCUUCGGGUUGUAAAGCACUUUCAGUGGGGAAGAAAGCCUUGGGGCUAAUACCCUCGAGGAAGGACAUCACCCACAGAAGAAGCACCGGCUAACUCCGUGCCAGCAGCCGCGGUAAUACGGAGGGUGCGAGCGUUAAUCGGAAUUACUGGGCGUAAAGCGCGCGUAGGCGGUCUGAUAAGCCGGUUGUGAAAGCCCCGGGCUCAACCUGGGAACGGCAUCCGGAACUGUCAGGCUAGAGUGCAGGAGAGGAAGGUAGAAUUCCCGGUGUAGCGGUGAAAUGCGUAGAGAUCGGGAGGAAUACCAGUGGCGAAGGCGGCCUUCUGGACUGACACUGACGCUGAGGUGCGAAAGCGUGGGUAGCAAACAGGAUUAGAUACCCUGGUAGUC
rnacentral:rRNA from 1 species